AUAACAAGGCUGGAUGGAACAACAGAGUGACCCGCACGACAGAAUUAGGCACGGAAUUUUGCAUUUUUAAACCACGCAUUACAUAAUCUUUUGUUUAAAUAUGGAGGAAAACUUAGCAAAGAAGGAUGCUGCCUGUUCCAGGACACGCCCUGCUGCCAGAAAGUGCUCUCUCCACCGGGCAGUCUCGUCCACCAAAUAGCAGCCACUAUUGUGUUCCGUGCGUCCCCAUAAUGCAAAAUACAACUUAAAAUACAUCCGUCAAGCUGGUACGCCACCUCCUCAUCUCGGCACAGAAAGACCAGAAUCUACCUACCCGGCAUGUCUGCUAGAGUGGCUCAUGCGCAGGACACGCACAACCACUCCACAGAGAAGCCCCUGAUCCAGUGCUUUAAGUGCGGGCAGCCAUGUAAGGGCGAGGUGCUGCGGGUGCAGAACAAACACUUCCACCUAAAGUGCUUCACAUGUAAAGUGUGCGGGUGUGACCUGGCCCAGGGGGGCUUCUUCAUGAAGAAUGGAGAGUAUCUGUGCACGCUGGACUACCAACGCAUGCACGGUACCCGCUGCAAUGGAUGCGGGGACUUUGUGGAGGGGGAAGUGGUCACUGCAUUGGGAAAGACAUAUCACCCGGCCUGCUUUGUCUGCACUAUCUGCAAACGGCCCUUCCCUGCCGGAGACAGGGUGACCUUUAAUGGGAAGGACUGUUUGUGUCAGUACUGUCUUGAGCCUAUGUCUCCAGGACCAAAAGACAUCCUGGGCUCCAGUAAUUGUGCAGGGUGUGGCCGAGACAUUAAGAACGGACAGGCCCUCUUAGCGUUGGACAAACAGUGGCAUCUGGGCUGCUUCAAGUGUAAGGCCUGCUGCAAAGUGUUAACCGGGGAGUACAUAAGCAAGGAUGGUGCUCCGUACUGUGAGAAGGACUACCAGAUUCACUUUGGAGUGCAGUGUGAGGCGUGUCAUCAGUUCAUCACUGGCAAAGUGCUCGAGGCAGGAGAUAAGCAUUACCACCCCAGCUGUGCCAGAUGUAGCAGGUGCAAUCAGAUGUUCACCGAAGGAGAAGAGAUGUACCUGCAAGGCUCAACAGUGUGGCAUCCUGGCUGCAAGAACACAACGAGGACAGAGGAGAGACACAGGGAGAGGCCUACGAGGUCGUCAUCCGAGAGUAUUUCUUCCAGACCUGGUUCAAGCAUACCUGGCUCACCGGGUCACACAAUCUAUGCAAAAGUAGACAAUGAGAUUCUUGAUUACAGAGACCUAGCUGCCAUUCCAAAAGUCAAAGCCAUUUAUGACAUUGAGCGACCCGAUCUUAUUACCUAUGAACCUAUGUACACCACCUCCCUGGAGGAGAGAGAGGAGAGACGAGAGAGUGUAGGAGAGCUCCUUAAUGCCAGGAGGGAGCGCUCACCCUUGCCUGAUGACAAGUCUUUCAGGACCAUGUCACCAACUCUAUCCAAUGAGGGAUGUUACGACAAGCGAGAACGCAUCCUCCAAAGGUCCACCAGUCAGGGCUCUAUAGGCUCGCCAGUUUAUAAUCGCCAUGGUUACACCCCCACCCUGUCACGGUCCCCGCAGCAUUUUCACAGACCGGAGGCUCUGACAGGCAUGCAGAAACUCUGCUCCUCCCUGUGCAGUAACAGUGUGGGCUCCAGAAAUAAUGACUCCCGCCCCACCUCCCCUUUCAGACACCACUUCCUGCCCCAUACCCAAGGCACUGACCCGCCAAGCGGCCGGAGCUCCCCUCUCCCGCUCAGGCCCGACAGCCGGCCGGGCACCCCGCCUCUCUCUCAGACCCCUAAACAUUUUCACCUCCCAGAUCAGGGCAGUAACAUCUACAGGAAACCGCCGAUCUACAGACAAUACGGUUCAGAAGGAAGAGGGCGAUCGAGAGAAGAAGAGGAGGAAGAGACCUUGAAACGAAAGCAGCUUCAGGAAGAACAUCUCAACAAGAUUCAGUCUGGUUUGGGAAAGCUAAUUCUGAGGGAGGAGAUGGAGAAAGAUCAGAUUAGGGAACGCCACGCGAGGAGUCUCUCUGCUCAGCGCUACGACCCCAAGCAGAAUAAUGGCGACGCAGAUCCAACUUCUCCAACCAAAACUAACUCUUUGCCUGGCUAUGGAAGGAAUGGCCUACAUCGGCCCCAGUCAACAGAUUUCACACACUACGACAGCUACGGUGACAUGUGUGGAGGAGGCAGAGAGUUUCAGGUAUGUCCCUCAUCUGCUUUUUCCCAUGGCAUGCUUCCUCACCUUGAGCCACACACUUGCUUGCAGUAGGCACCUUGCCCCGUAUGCACACUGUCCACUUGUGCUACACGCUUGCAUUGUUACUGGACGUGUUGCUGUAUGUCGUCGAGAUGUCACCUACGGGGCAUGCAGUCAUUUCAAAUGCACUGCCCAGUAGCUGAGCAACUGUACUCUAUGUGCAAUGUGCAAGCACCACCUCAUGUGUUGUUUUGUUUGUCUGUAUACAAAUGUCAUGACCCGAGCUAAAUGUCAGAUUGAGAAAUAUAAUUACAAAAUUCACCCCAGGUACACAUAAACAUACACUUUAACAACAGCUGUCCAUCUUAAACACUAUACUCCUGAGCAGUAGUCAAGCUCCUUGCUCCAUCCAGUGAAAAGUGUGCCCGCUGUCAUAAAAAGGGCAACAUACUCAUACCAUUAACCCUUCAGUCCCCUCCCACUAUAUUAUAUUUGUGUAUGUUCUAUUCUUUAGCACAUUAAGGAUGGCCGUGCAGCACUUGCAAGGAUGGACAGGGGAGUAUCUAUGCCUAAUAUGUUGGAGCCCAAAGCAAGUAUCUUCUUCUUUUUGUACUGAUAGCAACUAUGUGAAUUACACUAUAUACACAAAAGUAUUGAGACACACCAUUUUGUCACGUAGUUUGACAGUCAGGGGUUGGACGUGACCGCUUCAUUUACUCUGAUUCAUUAAAGAAUCCUCCUCUGGAGGUGAUCUGAAAUGAAAAAAGCUGUUUAUUUAUAGUCUUUAAAGGUAGACCUAUGGUGGCCGGGAAGUGCACAGCACUUUAAGAAACUAAACAUUAAUUAAAACAUUCUAGGAAACUAAAUUAGCCUUUCAGGAAACACAUUCACAAAACUCAAAACAAAAUUAGCAUUUGAGGAAAUAUAAACAAAUUACAAGCAUGCAAACUCCACAAUGAGAUACAGAAAAGUACAUUGGAAAUUUUGCACUGUUAUGCAGUUUAGGAAACAUAAAUGAGAAAAAGCGUAGAAGAAUAGGAUUUUAUACGGUGCGCUUUACAAGCGAAGUGCUCUACCCCAGAAUGCAGUGACAUGAUGUGCAGGUUCACUCAAAAAGGCUCUUUAUUUGAGCAAAGCGUGAAGAAAAAUUGCAAAAGGCGUAGCUUGAGGUCACAUAAGUAGCCAGGGCACGAGCAAACAAAGUUCAGUGCCUCACGUGGCGUAGUACGGGCAUGAAGAGCAAACUACAGGAGAAAAUGAACCGGCGACAAACAAUAGUCACAGCUGUACCUAAGCAGAUGCACUGCUUACUAAUGGGACACAGGUGUCGCUGUCCAGCGACAGCUAAACCACAGCUCAUGGUGCAAACAGGAGACACAAAAUGAACAAUGUAUAAACUAGGGAAAAAACAAAAGUAAAGUUCAACCUGUGAUGUGGGAUAUGGCAGGAUUAAGACAAAUGCAUGCCUUUAAAAUGGCCUUUUGGACACAACUAAAACUUGGUGAUACGGGAGAUUUUGUUUUCUAUACCGCAGUAUUUUUAAUGUAUUUUCUUGCUAAGUGCACAACAUUUCAUCAGACCAUAAUACCGGUACACUGUGUAUGCACACAUCAUUUUGCAAGAUAUCACUUUUAUUUCCCCCCAUUUCACAUCUUGUAAUGUCUAGAGCCUAGGUUCCCAAAGUGGGGUACACGUACCCCCAGGGAUACACCAAUUGUCAUGAGGGUACGUGAAUAAAAAGAAAAAACAAUUAGCGUCGAACACUCGCAAUUGCGAAUGCGCCUGAACGCCUCACGGCUCGAGGAGAAUGGAGCAGAAAGAAGACAGCAUAAAGUUGUUCAUUGCUCUUUGCGCAUCAUAUGAACAAAUAAGUAGGUUUCAUGAUUAUUUUGUGAAUUUAGAGCGUUUAAUCUUGAAGAUCUCAUUGAUAAUGUUGUUCUAGUCCCCGUACUGCGCAGCGGUGAAAACCUGUCACUGUGAGUGGGGAUUCCCCCCAAAUAAGGCUUUAUUGUUGGUUGUAUGCAUUCCACUUCAUCGUGACUAUGAAACUUUCUCCUUCAAUUUGGUAGCAAAUGAAUAUGCAGACUUACACCACAGCUAUUGUGAGUGGACAAAAAAAAAAGUGAAGCUCAAAUUCAACCCAUUCAAGCGGAAGGAUGCGAACAUCAAACUGGAAUAAAAGAUAUGUAGGAUGAUUACUUACCUAUUUAUAUUUCACUCAUGUGAAACUUUAUCAAAAUCCCACCAUGCAAAAUAUAAAUGUUUGAGCCGGAAGUACUGUAAAACCAAUGAAUUAACCACUUCAUUAUGUUCAAUAUUUGAAGUUAAUUAAGAUGAAAAGGUUUCUGUUUUUCAAGUGUGCAGGAGUAGAGGGUACAUGGCCUCAGGUCAAAUUGUCUGAAGGGGUACGCAACUCUAAAAUGUUUGGGAACCACUGGUGUACAGUCUCCCACAAAACUUAGUACAACCCUACCACGUUUAUUGUAUGAUAUCAGGGGUGGGCAAACUGCGGCUCGCGGGCCACAUCAGGCCUGCCAAGCGUCUUAAUCUGGCCCACUGGGCUUUUCCAAAAUCCUUUUUUUUCAAACCUUUAACAUGGAAACUGUAGCCGGCAACAUGACACGCAGUGCUAUUGUGGCACGCUCGAGUCGCCAAAAUAGUCAGAUGCAAUCUGUAGCUUGUACAAAAAAGCCAUCCAAACAACACAACACGUCGACACACACGACGCACAUGCCCAUGCCAAAUAAACACCCUUAUAUUCCUGCCACAAGGCAUGCUGGGUACUCUUUCUCCCAACAUUUUUGCUUGAUUGCAAAAUAUGUUGCGGAGGAGUUAACAGGUUAGGUUAAUUGGUGACUCUAAAUUGCCCAUAGGUAUGAAUGUGAGUGUGAAUGGUUGUUUGUCUAUAUGUGCCCUGCGAUUGGCUGGCGACCAGUCCAGGGUGUACCCCGCCUGUCGCCCAAAGUAAGCUGGGAUAGGCUCCAGCAUGCCCCCGCGACCCUAAUGAGGAGAAGCAGUAUAGAAAAUGGAUGGAUGGAUGAAGGAGUUAGCAUGUUCUUGAUAUCCAAUGUUUUAUUGUUCAUAGUUCAUAUUGUUGUUGCAGCUGGACUACCCAGCAUGCCUUGCGGGCAUUUGGAACUCAAAAUUUUAAGUUACGCGUUAUCUGUAGCGCGUAGUUGAUGUUUAUCCAGUUGAUUUAUGUGAUGCGCUAACUUGCUGUGGAUGUGUUGUUCUGUUUGAUGAACACCUAUAUAUAGACGGCCCCUCCACCAAAUAUUUUAACGCAUUGUAGCCCGCGAGUCGGAAGGUUUGCCCGCCCCUGUAGUAUAUCCUCUCAAGAAACAAUACUGUAGAAAUUAAAUACUGUAUAUAUUUUAGAGUAGUCAGUGUAGAGCUUGUUUAGCAGUACAAAUGUACUAUCCACUAAAAGCAACUCAACACACAGCUAUUAUUAUCUAAAUAGUGGGCAACACAAGUGAGUACCAAGAUAAUUGUGUCUUGCCUCCAGUGAAGCAUCAUGGUCAGGGGCUGCAUGAGUGGUGCUGGCACUGGGGAGCUGCGGGCCACUGAGGGAAACACGAAUUCCAACACGCACUGUGACAUUCUGAAGCAGAGCAUGAUCCCCUCUUUUUCAACGCAACGACCCCAACCACACAUUCAAGAUGACAGCUGACUUGCUGAGUAUGUGCAGUCCGGAUGUCCCCAGGCCCUGAACCCAACUGAGGACCCGUGGGGCAAUUCAAGCAGAAAGUGGAGGAGCGCGGGGUGUCUAACAUCCACCAGCUCUGUGAUGUCAUCGCGGAGGAGCGGAAGCGGACUCCUGUAACAACCCGUGCUGCUCUGACACUUUGAACCCUGACAUGUUGACAGUGAGGUGUACUCACUUGUUGCCGCCACUUAGACAAUAAUGGCCGUGUGUUGACACAUAUUUAGAAGGCAAUCUAUGCUGCUUUGCAAGCUGUGGCCUGACUACACUAAGUUAUAUCCGAGAGGGUUUACUCAGUUUUGUAAGAUACUGUACAUUUCCAGUAGAGAAUAUGUACCAAUAUAUUUUGGGUAUGCCUCUAACAUUGUUGGAAGAGUUCCAGCAUGGUAAAGCAAGGUCCACAAAGGCAAGAUUGGAGGGGUUUUGUGUGCAAGAACUGGACCUCAAUCACAUGAAACACCUUUAAGAUGAAAUUGAACAGUGACCUCUGACCUAACAAAUGUUCAUCCGGAUGAAUGGACAAAUAUGUCCCCCUAAAAUCUUCCCUACUUUUGGGUCCCAAUACUUAUGUUCAUAUAUUGUAUCUUGGAAUAUGUACAGCUAGCCUACGCUAACAAUACCCAAAAAAAGACAAUUCCUGAAAACUGUCCUAAAGAAAAUAGUUUGACAUAAUGCAAUCAGGUUUAGACCACAUACAGUAUAAUGAAAGUUAUUUAAGCGCCCUAUAGUGCAAAAACAUUGCAUUUGAAGACUGAAACAAUUUCCAGACUUAGCAUGCUGCUUCAGGAGCUGCAGUCACUCUAGUGCUUAGCAUGCUGGCUUCUUCAUGUUCAUCUGCACAUAGCUGUGACUUCCACUGGAUACUGUAUGCGGCAUACAGGGAAGAAUCCAAAUUCCCAUCCCAACCCCUCAUAUCCGUAUAUACUGUAGUGCAGUGGUUCUCAACUGGUUUGGCUACGCGACACACCGUCCAUCACCUCUUAAUGACAAGCGCUGACCCAAAUUGUGGAAGUUUUGCAACUCAAAUUUCUCCAAUAUCUUAUAUUUAAUGAACAGACAGUCCAGUUUGAAUGUGACGUAGAGCAAAAAUAACACAAGUUUAAUGAACUUUUCCGGUGUCACGCAAAAUUAUUUGACCAAAAAGUGUUUCUAUUUUGCUCUCACUAAUGUUUGGUCUCUAGUUGCAAGCUCAGCAGACAGAUAACAGGUUCUCCAUAAAGACUUCAGCUGAGUUCUAUUUCAGAGCCGUCACUUUGAAGCAUUGUAAAACUGAACAUACAGAAAUAAACCGUGCCAGUUAUAACUUCAACAAGAUGCAAAUCUAUUUCUCUGUGACAAAUGCAUCAUGUGCAACGCAUCCACAUACUGUAUGACCAGAUAGAUAUUCAGUAGAUAACUCAGGUGCACAUUGCAUUGAAACAUCCGAUAUGUAACAAACAUAAAAUACUUUCAGGCAAGCUUUCUUUCUAAGGCUCAACAAGACACAGGACUGACACAUUCCACUUGCAGACUAUUCGUGAAUGUUGGUUUUCUUCUAUGACAGCGCGUUUGAAAUAGCACUACAGAUUAUUGUCUCCAAGAGUAUUAAUAGACUGGGGUGGACACAAAUUCAGCCUUGGACUUUUUGGUUCAGACUGGCCCCACCCCCCAUUACGAGCCUGCUCUUGUUUAUAUAAAAGAUACAAUUAAAUAGGGUUGGGAUCAAACCUGUACCUUCAACCUUGAAAGGGAGCAGCAUGUACCAUUAAACCAACAUCGCAGAGUGAGUGUAUUUUUUGGCAUUUUAAUUUUCUAAUUCAUGACAGAGCCUCGGACUGACACUUGAAGCUGCACGCAUGGCAGCGGUGCGUGUUCUGUGCGCAUUUAGCCCUCUCGCGAGACCCUACCCUGGUUCUGCGUGACUGUGCCAGCACGCCUCCCCUGUUGUUUUGUGUCUGCGGCGGCAUGUUCCCGGGCCGGGAGAUUUAUUUUCCUUAUUUACCAAGGCAAGGCGCAGCGAUAAAUAAAUAAAUAAACUUCCGUCAAUCGGGAAAACCCCUGGUACUCUCGAUGGCCAGUCCGCCCCUGUUAAUAGAUGACACUCCGCUGCAUGAAAUAAAAAAUCCCCACUGAAAACUUGACCCACCAGUUGAGAAUCACUGCUGUAGAGUAUAUAAGGGAGCUCACCCUACUGUGCGGAUGUGAGUUUGUCAGAGGCUUAUCAAGCAAGUGAAGAGAAUUCUUGUACAUAUGGAAUUAGUUAUUCAGAAAAGCAGAGGCACCCCAGUUUUUCAGGGCAAUCAUUCUCAUGUGGUUUACUUGGCCAGCAUUACUGAUUUUGUUUUUUGCGUAACUGUUUUCCUGUUCCUUUCUCAAUCUAUUGCACGAUAAAGAGUAUGCACACCAUAGCAUUUCCUCAACAAACUAAAUGACUGCUUUCACUCUCAGUCAGCCUCCUGUCACAAACCUGUUCUCCUUCCCAGUGUUCCCUCUGUCACAAUUCUGAUCACAUCUCUAUAGAGUUGAUGUCAUUUUGUCACGUAAAAAAUGUUGACUCAGGUGUGUGACCCUGUGCACUGAUGAGUGUCUCCUUCUGAAGGUAUAUCCCUAUGAAAUGCUCAUGAUAACCAGUAGAGGGAGAGCUAAACUGCCCAGGGAUGUGGACAGAACCAGACUGGAGCGCCACUUAGCACCUGAAACGUUCUUUGACAUCUUUGGAAUGGAGAUCCAGGAGUUUGACAGGCUUCCCCUGUGGAAACGCAACGACAUGAAAAAGAAGGCCAAACUCUUCUAGCGCUGACAGCAGCAUGCAAAAACGCUCAUGUACAUUCAUACAGACAACACUUGACAACAAUUAUCUACACGUAGGCUUUGCUUUGUUUCCUUUUCUUCUGUUUUUUUCUACCUUCUGACAUUAUCAAGGAAGCCACAAGAUGAACUCUGUGAGACUUCCUGAGGCUGAACGAUGUGUUGUCAUAUUCAGAAAUGACAAAGAAUGAAUGAUAAAUAGGAUCAUGAUAUUUGUAUUGAUGGCGCUUGUUUUACUUCUUGCUUUGCUUUGACUGGAAUUGCUUUCAUCCUUUUUAUGCUUGUUUCUUCCUGCUAUUUAUUGCUGUUGACUCCUGUGGAUAUUUGUAAGUGCAGUAGAACCGUAUGGCGCCAUUUCAGAAUGUCCACGCUUGUAGCCUGAACAUACGUCUGCUUUCCUUUGCUUGGACUGAAAUAGAUUUGGUCCAAAGUUUGCAUCAAUUGGCUCAGUGAGUCUUUGAAUAAUAUAUUAAAAAAAAAAAAAACACUGGGAAGGCAGUCAGCUGACCCAGAAACAGUUUACUGCAUCUACAUGGUAAUGAACAAUCCCAGCAUCUUCACUCAGCCCUCACUUGACUGUACAUAGGACAUGUCACUCUUCUCAGGCUCUCUCAAACACUUAACCUUUACAUGUAUCGGAAGUAUAAAUCUUCAUAUAUGUCAAUGCCGUACCCAAUAUACGUCCAAUAACAGGCAAAUAGAUAAUACAACUCAUGUAACUCAACCUUGAAAGAAUUGUUUUAUAAGUGAAAACCCACACUGCCGUUUGUUGUAUUGAAAACUAAGCCAAUAAAGCUUUAAAUCACCAUGAACCACAUGA